UGGGGAAUAUUGGACAAUGGAGGAAACUCUGAUCCAGCAAUUCUGUGUGUGUGAAGAAGGUUUUAGGACUGUAAAACACUUUUAGUAGGGAAGAAAAAAAUGACGGUACCUACAGAAGAAGCAACGGCUAAAUACGUCCCAGCGGCCGCGGUAAUACGUAUGUUCCGAGCGUUAUCCGGAAUUAUUGGGCUUAAAGGGCAUCUAGGCGGUAAGACAAGUUGAAGGUGAAAACCUGUGGCUCAACCAUAGGCUUGCCUACAAAACUGUUGAACUAGAGUACUGGAAAGGUGGGUGGAACUACACGAGUAGAGGUGAAAUUCGUAGAUAUGUGUAGGAAUGCCGAUGAUGAAGAUAACUCACUGGACAGAAACUGACGCUGAAGUGCGAAAGCUAGGGGAGCAAACAGG
rnacentral:rRNA from 1 species